AGUGAACGCUGGCGGUAGGCCUAACACAUGCAAGUCGAACGGCAGCACAGUAAGAGCUUGCUCUUACGGGUGGCGAGUGGCGGACGGGUGAGGAAUACAUCGGAAUCUACUUUUUCGUGGGGGAUAACGUAGGGAAACUUACGCUAAUACCGCAUACGACCUACGGGUGAAAGCAGGGGAUCUUCGGACCUUGCGCGAUUGAAUGAGCCGAUGUCGGAUUAGCUAGUUGGCGGGGUAAAGGCCCACCAAGGCGACGAUCCGUAGCUGGUCUGAGAGGAUGAUCAGCCACACUGGAACUGAGACACGGUCCAGACUCCUACGGGAGGCAGCAGUGGGGAAUAUUGGACAAUGGGCGCAAGCCUGAUCCAGCUAUACCGCGUGGGUGAAGAAGGCCUUCGGGUUGUAAAGCCCUUUUGUUGGGAAAGAAAAGCAGCAGGUUAAUACCACGCUGUUCUGACGGUACCCAAAGAAUAAGCACCGGCUAACUUCGUG
rnacentral:rRNA from 1 species